rnacentral:rRNA from 1 species
AGUGAACGCUGGCGGUAGGCCUAACACAUGCAAGUCGAACGGCAGCACAGUAAGAGCUUGCUCUUACGGGUGGCGAGUGGCGGACGGGUGAGGAAUACAUCGGAAUCUACUUUUUCGUGGGGGAUAACGUAGGGAAACUUACGCUAAUACCGCAUACGACCUACGGGUGAAAGCAGGGGAUCUUCGGACCUUGCGCGAUUGAAUGAGCCGAUGUCGGAUUAGCUAGUUGGCGGGGUAAAGGCCCACCAAGGCGACGAUCCGUAGCUGGUCUGAGAGGAUGAUCAGCCACACUGGAACUGGGACACGGUCCAGGCUCCUAAGGGAGGCAGCAGUGGGGAAUAUUGGACAAUGGGCGCAAGCCUGAUCCAGCCAUACCGCGUGGGUGAAGAAGGCCUUCGGGUUGUAAAGCCCUUUUGUUGGGAAAGAAAAGCAGCAGGUUAAUACCCCGCUGUUCUGACGGUACCCAAAGAAUAAGCACCGGCUAACUUCGUG